GCUCGUUUUCAUUCUCUGUUUCCCAUCCCCAGCCAGUCACCCACAUUUCCCUCUGCCCGAGGUUCCCUCUCAGUCCCCUGCUUUCUGCAGCCCUCACCUCCCCUUGUGUCCCCUCUUCCCCCUCAGCCAUGUCCCGUCUGCCCUGGUCGCUCCCUUCUGUUCGCAGCCCCAGGGAGGCGAAGGCCGAGGGCAGAGCGCUGAGGGCAGAGCGCUGAGGGCAGAGCGCUGAGGGCAGAGCGCUGAGGGCAGAGCGCUGAGGGCAGGGCUGUGGCCGGACCCAGCCUCACCUUGCUGCGGGCACCGCAGCGCUCACCAGCCAGCCCUCACAAAGGCAGCACGGGCUCCACGAGAAGGCAGAAAUGAACCUGGAUGCUUUGUUCCAGCAAAUACAGUUCACAGAGAAGCAGGCGAGGGAGAAGAGGCACUUCAUCCAGCAAGCUAAAUGUGACAUAAACAGAAGCUAUGAAAAAAUUAACCAAAUAAAAGAAGAGCUGAGCGCUGCAAAAGUUAACUUAGAAACUAAGGUUCAGCAUCUGUCUGAAAAGCAGUUCUACUUAGAAAUUCUGAAGAAACGUGAAGAUAGCUUAGAAAAACAGAAAGCUGAACUUAUUAAUCAAAAAAGCAGUCUUCUUAAAAUCUUGACAGAUGCAAAGAGAAAAAUUGCUGAAGAGGAAGAUAAUUUUACCAGAGAAGUAACAGAGUUUAACAAUGAAUAUGGACUAGCAAGUAAUAGAGAUCUUCUGAUUAAAAAAAAAGUCAAGACUGAAAUAAAGGAUUUAGAGAAUGAGGCAGCGCUGCUGAAAAAUGAAAUGGAGUCAAUGGAACACAAAAAUGUCCAGUUAAAUGCACUCCAGCUGCAGAAGAAUGAGUUAAAGCAGGAUUUAUUUACUCUCCAAAGUGAACUCAAAGACCUUGAGAAAGUAAUCAGGGAGGCUGAAAGAAUGACGAAAGAUUUAGAAGCAGAAAAAGUCCAAGUAACUGAAAAACCUCAGACUGAUCCUGAAUGUUUAAGACUUAAGAGAGAAUUGGAAAAAUGCAAAGAUGAUAGUUGGGAAAGUGUCUGUGAGACUCUUCAAACAGAAAUUGAAAUUCUGCAAAUGAAUUUGUCACAAAAGAAGUCUUCAGGCAAGUAAAUAACAUGUGAUGUGAUAUGGAGUGUCACAGAAGCAAGUCUGAGUGGAGAAUGAACCAACUGCCUUAAGACAGUCAUCUUCAGUUUGAUAGUGGUUUGUGACACAAGAAAGGAUUUUCCCACUGACUGAGCUGAAGUAAGAGAGAGGGGCCUGUCCUGAAGCUUAUGAAGCCGUCGGAGAAGAAAGAAGAGACAGGAGAGGAACUUCGAGGCAAGAGCCAAGAAGAAGAGCGGCAGCGGCGAGCUCAAGAGUGGAGCAGCGAGGCAAGAGCCAAGAAGAAGAGCAGCGGCGGCAAGCUCAAGAGGGGGCACGACAGAGACCCUCUGGGCAAAGGCACCUCCCUGGCCCCCCCCGGGCAGGGAUCAGUAAGAAUCCGGCGGGCACCUUCAGGCUGCCCCGGUUGGCUUUGCGCUGGGCGACCUCCCUGUAAGCAGGGCUUGGUCUUUGCUUUGCUUUGCUUUGCUGGCCUUUGGCCAUAUGGCGCUCCUUUGGCUGCCCGGAGAGAGGGGCAACCCUGUAAGGAGGGUGAGAGCCCCCGUCUCCGCACCCGAGGGGGGAAACGGAGCUCUCCCGACCCCCAGCCCACCCUUUAAGCGGGGCAGGGCUUUUCCUGGCCCCCAGCCCACCCUUUAAGCGGGGCAGGGCUUUUCCUGGCCCCCAGCCCACCCUGUAAGCAGGGCAGGGCUUUUCCCCCUGGCACCUUUGUGCCUGCUUAUGGCCCCUGGCCAGAGUGACCCCCUGUAGCUGGGGCGUGUCACGGCCUUGGUCCCUGGGCCAGUUGUCAAGCCCCUCAGCGGGCCGAGGCCCCUCUGGCCUC